rnacentral:rRNA from 1 species
AGGGUUUGAUCAUGGCUCAGGAUGAACGCUGGCGGCGUGCUUAACACAUGCAAGUCGAACGAACCUUCGGGUUAGUGGCGGACGGGUGAGUAACGCGUGAGAAUCUGCCCUCAGGAGGGGGAUAACGGUUGGAAACGACCGCUAAUACCCCAUAUGCCUACUGGUGAAAUGAAUUUCGCCUGAGGAUGAGCUCGCGUCUGAUUAGCUAGUUGGUGAGGUAAUGGCUCACCAAGGCUUCGAUCAGUAGCUGGUCUGAGAGGAUGAUCAGCCACACUGGGACUGAGACACGGCCCAAACUCCUACGGGAGGCAGCAGUGGGGAAUCUUGCACAAUGGAGGAAACUCUGAUGCAGCGAUGCCGCGUGAGUGAAGAAGGCCCUUGGGUUGUAAAGCUCUUUCGUCGGGGAAGAAAAUGACUGUACCCGAAUAAGAAGGUCCGGCUAACUUCGUGCCAGCAGCCGCGGUAAUACGAAGGGACCUAGCGUAGUUCGGAAUUACUGGGCUUAAAGAGUUCGUAGGUGGUUGAAAAAGUUGGUGGUGAAAUCCCAGAGCUUAACUCUGGAACUGCCAUCAAAACUUUUCAGCUAGAGUUUGAUAGAGGAAAGCAGAAUUUCUAGUGUAGAGGUGAAAUUCGUAGAUAUUAGAAAGAAUACCAAUUGCGAAGGCAGCUUUCUGGAUCAUUACUGACACUGAGGAACGAAAGCAUGGGUAGCGAAGAGGAUUAGAUACCCUCGUAGUCCAUGCCGUAAACGAUGUGUGUUAGACGUUGGAAAUUUAUUUUCAGUGUCGCAGCGAAAGCGAUAAACACACCGCCUGGGGAGUACGACCGCAAGGUUAAAACUCAAAUGAAUUGACGGGGACCCGCACAAGUAGUGGAGCAUGUGGUUUAAUUCGAAGAUACGCGCAGAACCUUACCAACACUUGACAUGUUCGUCGCGACUUUAAGAGAUUAAAGUUUUCGGUUCGGCCGGACGAAACACAGGUGCUGCAUGGCUGUCGUCAGCUCGUGUCGUGAGAUGUUGGGUUAAGUCCCGCAACGAGCGCAACCCUCACUUUUAGUUGCCAUCAUUAAGUUGGGCACUCUGAAAGAACUGCCAGUGAUAAGCUGGAGGAAGGUGGGGAUGACGUCAAGUCCUCAUGGCCCUUACGUGUUGGGCUACACACGUGCUACAAUGGUAUUUACAACAGGAAGCGAAACAGCGAUGUUAAGCAAAUCCUCAAAAAAUACCUCAGUUCGGAUUGCACUCUGCAACUCGAGUGCAUGAAGCUGGAAUUACUAGUAAUCGUGGAUCAGCGUGCCACGGUGAAUGCGUUCCCGGGUCUUGUACACACCGCCCGUCACACCAUGGGAGUUGGUUCUACCUUAAGGCAAGGCGUAAAAACCUUGACCACGGUAUAGUCAGCGACUGGGGUGAAGUCAUAACAAGGUAACCGUA